UAAGUGAAGAGUUUGAUCCUGGCUCAGAGUGAACGCUGGCGGUAGGCCUAACACAUGCAAGUCGAACGGCAGCACAGGAGAGCUUGCUCUCUGGGUGGCGAGUGGCGGACGGGUGAGGAAUACAUCGGAAUCUACUCUGUCGUGGGGGAUAACGUAGGGAAACUUACGCUAAUACCGCAUACGACCUACGGGUGAAAGCAGGGGACCUUCGGGCCUUGCGCGAUUGAAUGAGCCGAUGUCGGAUUAGCUAGU
rnacentral:rRNA from 1 species